CAAGACUUCAUUUCUCUCUAGGUUUCUAGAGAGUGAAAUUUGCUCUCAAAUUUCUCUGGUCUUUAUGCUCUCGAUUUUAGUCUCGUUGCUCUCAAAUUUGGUCUUUACUUAAAUUUCAAAUUGAAUUAAGUUUAAUACUGUGUUGAUUUAAUUUGGCUGGGCUGGAUUUACAUCUCUAGCUGGAAUCGAAUUCAAAUUGAAAAAUGAAAAUAAAAUUUAUGCAGGCCACUAGUCGUGUUUGUCUCUUAUCAGGUCCUAUCCAUUACAAGCCACAUACGACUACUGCUUUACUAUCUCUGCUUCACUGUACACUAGUGACAAAUAAUUUUUUAAAACAAAAUUAAAAUAAAAAAAAAAGGGCAAAAGGCAAAGACAGAAGGAGAGUAGAAAAAGAUGCUAACGAAGGAAUCGAGUGGUUCGACGUUCGAUCUUCCCGAGGAGGUAUUGCAAGUGUUACCGUCCGAUCCAUUUGAACAGCUUGAUGUGGCCCGCAAAAUCACUUCCAUCGCUUUAUCGACACGUGUCUCCUCCCUCGAAUCCGAGAUCUCCGCUCAACGUGCUCAACUCGCCGAGAAAGAUGACCUCAUCGUCGACCUCCAAUCUCGGAUUGAGUCCCUGGACGCCUCCCUUUCCGAUACCACUGAUAAACUUGCCCUGACUGCUCUCGAAAAGGUCCUACCUUCUUUCUCCCAUUUCUUUGGACCCGGUCCACAGCUUUUAUUAUUAUUUUAAUUUUUAGUUUGAUCAACUCGGCAGGAGAACUUGUUGAAAGAGAACGCUUCACUAUCUAACACUCUAAAGAAGCUCCAAAGAGGUGUUUCCAAGUUGGAGGUGUUCAGGAAGACUCUCAUGCAAUCACUUCAAGAGGAUGAAGAAAAUUCUGUAAGUGAUCUACGCUGCUUGUGGUUGUGCUCAAAGAAAAUUAUUAAUCCAUCCAUCCCACAAAGUAGGCUUUCCUUUAUUUCCAUAUGGAUUUAGAAAAUGUAGUUGAUAUAGUUAAAAUAAUAAAUUUUGUUUAGUCUUUUUCUAAAAUAAUAAAUUUUGUUUAGUAUUUUCCUAAUAUAGCAUUCACUCUUUAUUAAAAGCUAAAUAAUUCAUGUUGCUAAAUUACUUUUUGAAACUAAUAAAUUUUACUUUUUCAGUGCAUAUGGGCAUAUUAGUAAGUUAAUAAAUAAAUUACUAUUUUAAAAAGGAAUUAUUUGGGAUAGUAAGCCCCAAGCCUAUCUUUAUGGGAUGGAGGGAGUGUAAUUUAAGACAAUGUAUGAAGGUUUUGGACUUUAUUACUCUUGUUUUUUUACAGUCAGGAGCUUUGCAUAUCAUUGCCAAGCCAACACCAAACGGUAUGUGUUUAUCUUCCUUAUGUAAUUGUACGUUCUUCAAGUUGGUUAUAAGGAUUCUUUUACCAUUUAGUAUUGUAGAGUCGACAAAACUUAGCACCUCAUUUCUAAGGCCUUGUGAUGGUGUGAUAGUGAUAGUAUGCUAGGGAUUAAGUAUUGCCUACCAUUGGGCCUUAAUUUCCUAUGCAGAUCCAGUCGAUUUGAAAUAAUUGGUUUAUUAAAACUGUAAAGUCUGCCGUGUCUGAAAUGAAAUUUGGAUGUGUCUAACCAACGUUCUGGGAGAAAUUCAAUAAAGUAGGUGAAAAUAUUUGCUUAAUUGAUCACUUCCUAUGCUUCAACAUGGGUAGGUUUUAUAGUGGCUUGAAAUGCCAGCCUUACAGAAUACAAAUGGAAUGCCACAUAAGUUUAUAUUCAUUAAUUUCCUCAUGGUCUUUUGCAUUUUUAACCAAUUAGACCUUUUGAGUUAUCAUGUUCAUUUUUUUUUUCAUGAUUCAAUUUUCAACUCAGAGAAAAAUUGUCCUUAUUUGUUUCAGAAGAUGAUGCCUCCUUGCCACCUUCAAGAUCAUCUUCUAUGCGGAGCCAUUACACUGAAAUGGGAAACUCAUUUGCAGAGGAUCGUGGAACAGAUGGUACACCACAAUUAUUUUCGUUUUUAACACAUUUCUUAACAUGGAAAAUUUCCGUAAGCAAUUUUAUAAACUUUGCUGUUGUGCUUGGCUUCCUUGAUAUUUGCUGGCAUAUGCAGUACCUUUGUCAAUGUCAAAGAAGUAUGUAGAUGCUAGUGGACAUAUAAAAUUCUUCCUUUUUAUCUCUCUUAAAAAUUAAAAAGAAAAAUCUUUGUUCUUACUAUAUGCUGCUAUUAUGGCAGUGUCAAGAACUGGCAUAUCACGCAGUAUUCUGCUAGCAUCCCAAACAAGCACUCCCCGAUUUACUCCUCCAGGUUCUCCUCCUAGUUUUUCAGCUUCAGUGUCUCCAACAAGAACUUCUAAACCAGUGUCCCCAAGACGGCAUUCAAUGUCAUUUUCUACCUCAAGGGGGAUGCCUGAUGAUAGGUCUUCGAUAUUUUCUUCUCUGCCAUCAGGCCAACAUGGUUCAGCGUCAAGCUCUGACACAGGGUCACAGACAGGACGAACUCGUGUGGAUGGGAAAGAAUUCUUCCGCCAAGUCAGGGUCCGGUUGUCUUACGAACAGUUUGGUGCCUUUCUGGCAAAUGUUAAGGAAUUGAAUUCCCACAAGCAAACAAAAGAAGAGACUCUGAGGAAGGCUGAUGAAAUUUUUGGCCCUGAUAAUAAGGACCUUUACGCAAUAUUUGAGGGAUUGAUCAUUCGUAAGUAAUGUUCACUGAAGCUGCUUAUGUGUCACUGGAUCAAAUGUUUGUACUUUUUGAUAUUAUCACUUUGCAAUUUUUUUUUGGUUGUAAAUUAAUAUCAAGUGUAAUGACACUUCCGUGAUGCUUUCGUCAUUUGUUAACAUUUAACAAUGGUCACUGAAAGAACUUGUGACUUGUCAAGAAUUUUUGAAGCGGACAAGGAGAAUGUCAUCAGGAAUGUUGCUUUCGACGAAACUGCCCUGAUCCAUUUAGACCGAAGCUUGGCCCGGGGCUGUACAACUGGUCAUUUCGGUUUCGAAUCAAUUGAACCGCAAUAAUCAAGUAAUCAAAAUAGAAUGUUAUAUAAAUUGAAGCAAAGUAAUUAAGAAAUUGAGUUUUUAUUUUUUGGGCCAAAGAUAAUCUGCUGCAAGGGAUUACAUAAGAAAUCUGAAUCCCCGCAACGAUAAAGUUGAUAAACUGUCAGCUGCUUUGUGACAACAUCUUGAGUCCACGCUUCAACAUGGAUGUCGCCACUCCAUCUCUCAACGAAGAGAGGGACCACAACAACAACAAAGAUGAGAGAGGAGCCCAAUUCUGACAUGUUAUGGCUCAACGAAGAGAAUUGCAGAAAGUUGUUAAGAGGACAGCACAAAACAGGUGAAAAUUGACAAUAUCAAUAGAGACCAUAAGCCAAUAGUAAAGAAUGAGGUAUGUAGCCCUUGGGUAUGGAAAAUGGGCUUAUGCUCAUACAAACGAAUCUGAU
rnacentral:misc_RNA from 1 species